rnacentral:lncRNA from 1 species
AGAGAGUGAGAAGUGAUGACGGUGAUCGUUGUCGCCGCGUCUUCUGUGGAACCCAAGCAGUGCCGAAGGAAGUCGCAAGGCUCUUCCCCGACCUUUUGCUCCUCUCCCUGCGCGAGCCUCAGCUUACAAUGUAGCCCAAGCUGGCCCUUGGAUGUGUGGCAGUCGUACCUCUACCUCCUGAGCACUGAGAUUAUAGAGAUCUAGGCUUACAUUGCUGUUAAGCCUCCAACAGCGGCAGCCAGAUGGUGCAGUGUUUUUGAAACAGGCUCUGAUAAAUCCACAAAGAGCUGACCUUCCAUGCUGUGAGGACCUACUUCAGACCAUCUCCUGCCUCAGUUUGUCUCCUCAGGACUAGAGUGAAGUUCUCCUGUACUGCUUUUUUUACAGGCUUGUCUUCCUAUUCAUCUGUCUUCCAGCAGCCCCCUGUCUGGGACUCUUUGGAAUAAGUCAGUUGCCCCAGGACUUCUUUAAAGUGUCAGUGUAACACCCAGACUACCACAACUACUCCUGCUGCUUAGUUUGGUCUCUGUGAGGAUCCUAUAAUUGUCCAAACCAGAUAUUUUGCCAAGCCAGUCUGUCCUGCUGGGUGAGUCUCCUUGCAGUGAUCUAUCACCUGAUUCGGGAUCCACCCUCUUCCCAGGGCCGGCGCUGUGAAAAUGUUGAUGAUGGCAGUAAUUAAUGCUAAUUAAGAGCUUUGUCAAGAA